AAUUACUUUACCAAACUAUGUUUGUUACUACCAGUUCUAAAUCUACAAAAUCCUCUAUGAGCCAGUCCUUAAUAAAACCUGCUCUCACACAAAAGAAGGUGAUAAUUUAGCCCACGAGGAGGAAAGGAAGUCAGCAUGUGGAGCUAACAAUAUGCUGGCUAGAUUUUAAGAGCCUCCCUGCUUCUGUCCCCGACAGAUCUAUUGGACAAGGAUGCCCUUUCAGGCGGCAAGAAUUACCAAUUCAUUUAUUCCCUUUCUUCUAGGAUUCUGCCACCUGCUUCGACAGAGAUGAAGAGCUUAACACACAAAGAAAGAAAGAAACAAAGUGCACGCAAGGCAUCUGUUCUCCCCGAAGAAUUCUGGAUCUCUUCCUUUCCCAGGACUCUGGCCAGAAAGGAGCCCCUUGAACCUGAAGGAGGUGAACGGAGGAUGCCUAUGAACACCCACUGCAGGUCACUUCUCCCGCCCCCACUGUACCCGGGUUUCCUGUGUUCUGGGGUCAUUUGCUACAGCUGAGCAGCUGCAGUGCAUGUUUCCACAAGCUGUCCCACCAGAGAUUUCCGGGUCUUUCUGGAAAGGGCCUCACCCCACUCCUGCAAAACAUCUGCCUUGCUGCCACUGGCUUAAGGAUUCCUUUCCCCUGCAUUCCUGUUGGUGAAUGGACUCUCCGGCCUCACGAGAAACCCCAGCCAUCCUCAACGACCCGCUCCACUUUUGUCCCCUGCCUCGAGGCAGCCCAUCUCCACCACCUGUGUCAUUUGGAGCUGUGCGCAUCUGCCACCUCUGUUCCAGCAUGACUGGGGCAGCCUCCCUCCACGGACGGCCAGCCCCCCGGGUCUCACCAGCCUCUCUGGUUCUCCUCUACAACCCUAUCACCACCCCCGGCAUGCUUCCCACUGCUUCUAGAAUACAGUCAAAUAUUCUCCAGUUUGACAGACACAGCUCUUCACAGUCUGGCUCAACCACUGUGACAGCCUGAUCUCCAAAUGCAGGACUGACUACAUGAAUUGCAGGGCCUCGUACAAAAGGAAAAACAUGAACAGAAAGAACUUCAGGAUGGCAACCACCGAACAUUAAACUAAGCAAGGUGGGGCCCUUGUAAGUGCGAGGCCCUCAGGCCCCUUCCUAUGUCUCCCUCAAACCCACCCCAGGAGGCAAAAGGCACUACCAUUACCGAUAAAAGCCCUUCUCACCUCUCUUCACCCUCACUGAAACUCGUCCCUCCUCUCAAAGAAGGCUUCAAAACAAGGAAACUGGCUCCCAAUCUUUUUUGUUUGUUUGUUUGUUUUUAUUGAAAUUCCAGUUAGUUAACUUACAGUGUAAUAUUAGUUUCAGCUGUACAAUAUGGCAAUUCAACACUUCCAUUCGUCGGCCGGUGCUCAUCACAAGUGCCCUCCUUAAUCUCCUCCUCAGCUGCCACCCACUUAAGUGACCCAUUCACGUGCCCCUGGCACUGAGCUCUCUGGUCCUCAUUUACAGUAUGGUUAUUUAUUUACCUGUCUCUCCUCCACACCUGAAUCAGACCAACAGUCCCAGGGCUCUGAGUUCACGGCUUAGUCAUUUGUGUGCCCUCCCUUCCCACCUUUCCAGAGCAAGAGUUGGUACACGUGAGGACUACAAUAAAUCUCUACUGAAUGACCACUAGGAAUAUUGCCCUCUCCUUCUAAUGGUCACUUAUGGGGCCUCCUCUGACCUUGCCAAAUGACCAGCGAGAGGAGAAAUUUUAAAAAUCCCCUGAAGACCUUGCUUUUACAUAAGAGAAGAUGCCCGGGCCCUCCAGAGGCGGAAUUACACAACGAGCUUGAGGGCGUCUGAACAGGAACUUCCAUUAACUACCAUUAUGAAACCUACUGGCCAGACACAAAGGCUGCACAUGUUGACUUUGGCAGUGGCUUCACAGGUGGCCCAGCUGGCGCAGUGGCAGAAAGCUCACCACCUCCUUGGCUGCUGCCAGCACCAUGGGGGGCAUGGAAGAGGGAUGGUAAACAGGAGAGCCAGCACUGCCUUCUUUCGUUUUACCCCAUGUGACAGAGGGGUGGGCACAGCCCGGAGAGGAAGAAGGUGAUCAAUGUUUAAUUCCCUACCAACUGCCAUUGGGAAGUAGAACAAAGGCAUAAGCCUUGCGGUUUUUGUUUUUACCUAGAAACUUUAAAUGAGAUCUCAUUUCCCUUGAAAUGAUUACCUCUUCAGGGAAAACGCUUGUGAACCCAUAAGUUCUCUUUGAGCAAAGAAGCAGAAUGAGGUAGGGAGAAGAGAUGAACUGUGACCACCACUACCCCUUAAAUGCGAACUUGCUUUAUUAUUCUUUAAGAGGAAGAAAAACAUUGGAAAUCCCAAAUAGCUUCCUAAACAUUCAGGCAAAGUUGAUUUUUCCAGCAAUUGGCAACCGACCAUGCUCAUGGGAGAUGGUGAGGCCAAGAGGAGGGAUGAUAUCGUUAUUAGAAUAAGCACAGGCAUUAAACUUUGUGUGCCCUCAAAUAUUAGAAGAUCUUCCCCAAAUUUAGUCAAGGAACAUCCCUCCCCCAACAGGCCAUUCAAUGACAAUAACAACAGCAACAGCAGCAGCUACCUUUUACUGAGCCGGUGAGUAAGGGCUGAGUCAGUUAUUCUCCAUCAUGUCUCUGUUGGCGCUGGGGACGAUCUGCACUCUCCUUGUUUACUGCCUUCCCCACUCAGUGUGCAGCUCCCCCAUAAGCAUGUAAGGUCACCUCUGAAAACCCAAGACCCAGAACGGUACUGCCAACCUAGUAAAGUCUCAAUGUGAUCUCAGAUUUGUCAAAAAACAGAUCAUCUCCAUCCUUCCAGGGCGGUUCCCAUUCAAUAAAAGAAGAGAAAUCAAGUAACACACUCAGGGUGUCUAAGGGAGGACAUUUCAGGUUUUGGUCCUUCAGCUACCAUUCUGUAUGUUCAGAACAGUUUGUUUCAGAAGUCCCGGGCAUUAAAGCACCCUUUACAAUGUUCAUUGUAGAGACCCGUUUUCUCUGCCACAUUUCACUCAGCAAACGUUUCCCACAUAUAUUCCUUAAGAGCUACUUUCCUCCCACCCCCUAAGUUGAAGCUGGUUUUAAUGUUACAGAAAAAGACUUGGAUUGCAAGGUACUCAGCAAAUGCCCUAAG